CCCUUAUUUCAUUGUGAUUGAUUAUAAUCUCUCAUUUUCUUUUGCUACCUUGGUUUGGUUUGAACCUUGAAAGCCUGCGUUUUAUUGCGUAGCUCUGGGUUACCAAAAGAAUUAUAGAAAGGAGUGGGCCUGAAAAUGGGUUACAUAAUUGUGAUUUCAUUGCCAGUGAUACUGUUAAUUUUGAUCAUAGCACUUGCAUUUUACCUUCUUGGUAGGGCCCGUGGUCGGAGCGAAGCAAUUCCUCAGUAUUAUGGGCCUCCAGCUCCUCCAUUCCAAGCCCAAUCUCCGGCCCAUGAUAAACCACCACAGGUCUAGAUUCGUAUUUCUUAU